CUUUUAUCAAUAAUAAAAUCCUUUACUAUCCACUUACCUCGGUGAAGUUCAUAAAACAACAUACGAAAGACCAAUAACAUUAUUAUCAUCACGUUAUCACAUAGACUUUAUAAUACAACAUUUAUCACGCGUUUGCAUUUCAAUCUUUAAACAGCAUAAUUCAUCUUUUACCAGCCUACUAGUAUCCAUGGGGAUCCAUAGAGGUCCCGCUACCCGUGAACCCUUAACACUUGUAAUCAGAUUCCAGGGCCGUCCUCAUACCCCGUCCGGUAUGGGCGCCAAAACACAUAAGGUCUCCAUACUCCAUCCGGUAUGAGAGACCACAGUCCCGGUAGGGUUCCCUACGGACCCAGUCCGUCCACCAUCUCCCAGGAUAUCUAGUCAGGCUGACCACAUUAUACAAUUAUCAAUUUACAUAACCUUUCAUUUCCCUUUUUCCUCAGUCAGCAUCAUCAAAUCACACACAAACAAGCAAACCAGUAAUUU
rnacentral:lncRNA from 1 species